GUAUAAUACUAAAUAGCUUGUAGGGUUGUGUAUUAUCCUAGUUAGGUACAUAUGAAUAUACUACUAUUCGAACCAACUAAUUCAAAUGGUAUUACAUAUAUUAGCUUGCCUGUUAUCCGUAUUUUAUUUAACAAACGUUUUUCUGUUUAAAAAAAAAACUUUAUUACCGCCAUUGUCUGUCGGGCUAUGUGUUGCAUGCAACCAUCAGUUUCACUGCUUCUUAUUUUUUUGGCAUUCUGAUUAGAUGGCAGUCAAUUGAAGUAAACUCUCCUUUCCCAAAACAGAUCAUUUGACACGCAACUGAAUCACAGAAUGAUUUGGUUUAAUUGAUACUGCGUCUUUUAAGACUGUACUCACACGGUCAUAAAAUAAAUAUAUGGGCCCGUCUGUUACUGAAAAGCGUAAGGAAGUUGCAUGGAGCGUUCAAAUGUGAACGCAUAAAACAGACGUUCCCUAAGCAUCUCAUGCUAUUUGGAAAUUACAUAAUUUCCCAUCACAGGAUCAAGGCAAGCAGCAGUCACUGCCACUGGGGGUGCUGUUUCGAGUGCUGCUGACGUAACGAUCGUCCUCUUGCCGUUUUUUUGCUGUCCAGUUCCCUCCAACACUCGUUAUAGUAGGCACACAACUUGGCGUGUCAGUAGACAAUUCGCUGUACCCGUUCAAGUAGACAAAGAAAGUCAAUCGUUGGACACAGUUUUACUGGAGCCUGACCUUUUGAGACGCUGCGGGCAAAACAACUAUUCUUACCACCGAGAUAAAGACCAUUUCAAGUUGGAUAUUCACGCUUUCAAACCUCAAUCCACUUGAACCACAGACACCAAAAUGUCCAUGGACUGUCAGAGAUGAGCGGUAACGUGAAUGAUCCCGGAGCAGCUGGCGCUAGCCCCAGGGAGAGUUCUCUUUUCUUUGUGAAGGGCAGGGCACCCUGGAAUGGGUUCACCUUGAGAGAGGGGCCCUGGAAAUCAUUGCGGUUUCAGCGUCGUCCGACCAAGUUAACCAGAAAGUGAAAGACAACAUCCCUUCAAUUGCAUCAGCCAUCAUAAGAUCCAUCAUGGAGGUGUCUCACACUGUGGAAACAGAGGAGCUGAUGACAUGCCUCCAGAUCUACACUGCAUAUUGCCCCUGGACACAAGUACCAGGCUGAGGACCCAGUGAGGCAAUUGUGCAUUGAGUUUCUUUCAUAGAUUACUUUUACUACAAUAACAGCCAUAUUGUAUUAUUUUCUCUUUAAAUUAGAAGCAGUUUUCUUAAAAUGCUUAACAUUCUGAAAGCUGAAAUCAAAAUGUUGACUGUGGCAACAAGCUAUCAGUACCUCAAAUGUUUUUAUAUUCUACCUUAUAACCCACUCCAAGUAUUAUUCAGACUUAUGUUAUUUUAUCAAAUGUGACACUAAAGAAUGUGAAUAUUACCCUUUUUCAUGAUACUCAAAUAAGAGCAAGUAUCAGAAUUCAAUGAAGGACGAUGUUAGGGUGGGGGAAGGAUAUUGUUAUGUCACCGUUUUGGAAAUAUUGAUUAUAACAAUUAAACCGUUUGAUUUGA